ACAGGGAUGCCCUAGUAACGGCGAGUGAAGCGGCAACAGCUCAAAUUUGAAAUCUGGCCCUCGGGUCCGAGUUGUAAUUUGUAGAGGAUGAUUUUGGUUAGGUACCUUCCGAGUUCCUUGGAACAGGACGCCUUAGAGGGUGAGAGCCCCGUACGGUUGGAUGCCGAGCCUCUGUAAAUCUCCUUCGACGAGUCGAGUAGUUUGGGAAUGCUGCUCUAAAUGGGAGGUAAAUUUCUUCUAAAGCUAAAUACCGGCCAGAGACCGAUAGCGCACAAGUAGAGUGAUCGAAAGAUGAAAAGCACUUUGAAAAGAGGGUUAAAUAGUACGUGAAAUUGUUGAAAGGGAAGGGCUUGUGACCAGACCUUUGCCUUGCGGAUCAUCCGGUGUUCUCACCGGUGCACUCCGCUUGGUUGAGGCCAGCAUCAGUUUCGGCGGCGGGAUAAAGACUUCAGGAACGUGACUCCCCCGGGAGUGUUAUAGCCUGCUGUGUAAUACCGCCGCUGGGACUGAGGACCGCGCUUCGGCUAGGAUGCUGGCAUAAUGGUCAUCAGCCACCCGUCUUGAAACACGGACCAAGGAGUCGAACAUUUAUGCGAGUUUUUGGGUGUUAAACCCUCAAGCGUAAUGAAAGUGAACGGAGGUGAGAGCCCUUACGGGUGCAUCAUCGACCGAUCCUGAUGUCUUCGGAUGGAUUUGAGUAAGAGCAUAACUGUUCGGACCCGAAAGAUGGUGAACUAUGCGUGGAUAGGGUGAAGCCAGAGGAAACUCUGGUGGAGGCUCGCAGCGGUUCUGACGUGCAAAUCGAUCGUCAAAUCUGCGCAUGGGGCGAAAGACUAUC
rnacentral:rRNA from 1 species